rnacentral:rRNA from 1 species
GCAGAACGCGAAGAACCUUACCCACCUUUGACAUGUACGGAAUCCUUUAGAGAUAGAGGAGUGCUCGAAAGAGAGCCGUAACACAGGUGCUGCAUGGCUGUCGUCAGCUCGUGUCGUGAGAUGUUGGGUUAAGUCCCGCAACGAGCGCAACCCUUGCCAUUAGUUGCUACGAAAGGGCACUCUAAUGGGACUGCCGGUGACAAACCGGAGGAAGGUGGGGAUGACGUCAAGUCCUCAUGGCCCUUAUAGGUGGGGCUACACACGUCAUACAAUGGCUGGUACAGAGGGUUGCCAACCCGCGAGGGGGGAGCCAAUCCCACAAAGCCAGUCGUAGUCCGGAUCGCAGUCUGCAACUCGACUGCGUGAAGUCGGAAUCGCUAGUAAUCGCGGAUCAGAAUGUCGCGGUGAAUACGUUCCCGGGUCUUGUACACACCG